AAUUAUGUUUUCUUAACACAGAAAAAACAAGCACAGUUCUAUGAAAAUAUUGUGAAAGUAAUAAGACCUAAACCAGAUUACUUUGCAGUUGGUUAUUAUGGACAAGGAUUUCCAACAUUUUUACGGAGCAAAGUUUUUAUUUAUCGAGGAAAAGAAUAUGAACGCCGUGAAGAUUUUGAA